AACGAACGCUGGCGGCAUGCCUAACACAUGCAAGUCGAACGAGACCUUCGGGACUAGUGGCGCACGGGUGCGUAACGCGUGGGAACCUGCCCUUAGGUUCGGAAUAACUCCCCGACAGGGGUGCUAAUACCGGAUAAUGUCUUCGGACCAAAGAUUUAUCGCCGUUGGAUGGGCCCGCGUUGGUUUAGCUGGUUGGUAGGGUAAAAGCCUACCAAGGCGACGAUCGAUAGCUGGUCUGAGAGGAUGAUCAGCCACACUGGGACUGAGACACGGCCCAGACUCCUACGGGAGGCAGCAGUGGGGAAUAUUGGACAAUGGGCGAAAGCCUGAUCCAGCAAUGCCGCGUGAGUGAUGAAGGCCUUAGGGUUGUAAAGCUCUUUUACCCGGGAUGAUAAUGACAGUACCGGGAGAAUAAGCUCCGGCUAACUCCGUG
rnacentral:rRNA from 1 species